UACGUAGGGGGCAAGCGUUAUCCGGAUUUACUGGGUGUAAAGGGUGCGUAGGUGGUACGGCAAGUCAGAAGUGAAAACCCGGGGCUCAACCCCGCGGAUUGCUUUUGAAACUGUCAGACUGGAGUACCGGAGAGGUAAGCGGAAUUCCUAGUGUAGCGGUGGAAUGCGUAGAUAUUAGGAGGAACACCAGUGGCGAAGGCGGCUUACUGGACGGUAACUGACACUGAGGCACG
rnacentral:rRNA from 1 species